rnacentral:rRNA from 1 species
GGAUGAAGGUCUGGUGACUGAGUGGCGGACGGGUGAGUAACGCGUGGGCAACCUGCCCUGUACAGGGGGAUAACAGUUGGAAACGGCUGCUAAUACCGCAUAAGCGCACGAGAGGACAUCCUCUUGUGUGAAAAACUCCGGUGGUACAGGAUGGGCCCGCGUCUGAUUAGCUGGUUGGCAGGGUAACGGCCUACCAAGGCGACGAUCAGUAGCCGGUCUGAGAGGAUGAACGGCCACAUCGGAACUGAGACACGGUCCAAACUCCUACGGGAGGCAGCAGUGGGGAAUAUUGCACAAUGGGGGAAACCCUGAUGCAGCAACGCCGCGUGAGUGAAGAAGUAUUUCGGUAUGUAAAGCUCUAUCAGCAGGGAAGAUAAUGACGGUACCUGACUAAGAAGCUCCGGCUAAAUACGUGCCAGCAGCCGCGGUAAUACGUAUGGAGCAAGCGUUAUUCGGAUUUACUGGGUGUAAAGGGUGCGUAGGUGGCAGUGCAAGUCAGAUGUGAAAGGCCGGGGCUCAA